GAGGGCAUAGCUCAGUGGUAGAGCACAUGCUUAGCAUGCAUGAGGUCCUGGGUUUAAUACUCAGUACCUCCU
rnacentral:tRNA from 1 species